GGUUAAGCGACUAAGCGUACACGGUGGAUGCCCUGGCAGUCAGAGGCGAUGAAGGACGUGCUAAACUGCGAAAAGCGCCGGCGAGGUGAUAUGAACCUUUGACCCGGCGAUGUCCGAAUGGGGAAACCCAGUGCAAUCCGUUGCACUAUCGUUAACUGAAUACAUAGGUUAACGAGGCGAACCGGGGGAACUGAAACAUCUAAGUACCCCGAGGAAAAGAAAUCAACCGAGAUUCCCCCAGUAGCGGCGAGCGAACGGGGAGCAGCCCGGAGUCUGAAUCAGCUUGUGUGUUAGUGGAACGGUCUGGAAAGUCCGACGGUACAGGGUGAUAGUCCCGUACACGAAAGCACACAUGCUGUGAACUCGAAGAGUAGGGCGGGACACGUGGUAUCCUGUCUGAAUAUGGGGGGACCAUCCUCCAAGGCUAAAUACUCCUGACUGACCGAUAGUGAACCAGUACCGUGAGGGAAAGGCGAAAAG
rnacentral:rRNA from 1 species